rnacentral:rRNA from 1 species
CACGUAGGGGGCGAGCGUUGUCCGGAUUUAUUGGGCGUAAAGAGCUCGUAGGCGGCUCAGUAAGUCAGGUGUGAAAACUCUAGGCUCAACCUGGAGAGGCCAUCUGAUACUGCUGUGGCUAGAGUCCGGUAGGGGAGCAUGGAAUUCCUGGUGUAGCGGUGAAAUGCGCAGAUAUCAGGAGGAACGCCAGUGGCGAAGGCGGUGCUCUGGGCCGGAACUGACGCUGAGGAGCGAAAGCGUGGGGAGCAAACAGG